ACUCAGUUAGUAUAGUGGCUAGUAUCUCUCCCUGUCACGGAGAAGACCCGGGUUCGAUUCCCGGACUGAGAG